AUGCAAGUCGAUCGGCAGCGCAGUAGUAGUAAUACUAUGGGCGGCAAGAGGCGGACGGGUGAGUAAUGCACAGGAAUCUACUCAGGAGACGGGGAUAGCCCAGGGAAACUUGGGGUAAUACCCGAUAAUAACGAGAGUUCAAAGGGGCUGUAAGGCCUUACUUUUGAAUAAGCCUGUGUCCCAUCAGCUAGUUGGCGGGGUAAAUGCCCACCAAGGCUAAGACGGGUAGCUGGUCUGAGAGGACGAUCAGCCACAAGGGAACUGAGAUACGGUCCCUACUCCUACGGGAGGCAGCAGCCAAGAAUUUUCCGCAAUGGGGGAAACCCUGACGGAGCGACGCCGCGUGAGGGAUGAAGGUCUUCGGAUUGUAAACCUCUUUUGUAGGGGAAGAAUAAGGUGUAUAGGAAAUGAUGCAUCGAUGACGGUACCCUAUGAAUAAGCCCCGGCUAAUUACGUGCCAGCAGCCGCGGUAAUACGUAAGGGGCAAGCGUUACUCGGAAUUACUGGGCGUAAAGGGCGUGUAGGCGGUCACACAAGUCUAAUGUAAAAUACUAAGGCUCAACCUUAGAACUGCGUUGGAAACUGUGCGACUUGAGUCUGGUGGAGGGUAAUGGAAUUCCCGGUGUAGCGGUGAAAUGCGUAGAUAUCGGGAAGAACACCGAAGGCUAAAGCAGUUAUCUAUGCCAAGACUGACGCUGAGGCGCGAAAGUAUGGGUAUCAAACAGGAUUAGAUACCCUGGUAGUCCAUACUGUAAACGAUGUACACUAGGAGUUGGUGGUAUCCAUUAGCUCCGUAGCAAACGCAUUAAGUGUACCGCCUGGGGAGUACGGGCGCAAGGCUGAAACUCAAAG
rnacentral:rRNA from 1 species